rnacentral:lncRNA from 1 species
AUCACUGCCACUCGAAAGACUUUGGGUGGCCCCUCUGAAAAGCUGUGGCAUCAUGGCUGUGGGGCUGACCAGAACAUCAUCCCUGCAUCCACUGUUGCUGCCAAGGCUGUAGGCAAGAUCAUUCCAGAGCUCAACUGGAAGCUCACUAUCAUGGCCUUCUGUGUUCCUGUAUAUCCGUUGUGGAUCUGACAUGCUUUCUGAAGAAACCUGCCAAAUAUGAUGACAUCAAGAAGGUGGUGAAGCAGGCAUCCAAAAGCCCACUAGGGCAUUCUGGGCUACACUGAGGACCAGGCUGUUUUCUGUGACUUCAACAGCAUCUCUCACUCUUUCACCUUUGAUAAUAGGGCUGGCAUUGCUCUCAAUAACAACUGUGUAAAGCUCAUUUCCUGGUAUGACAAUGAAUAUGGCUACAACAACAGGGUGGUGGACUUCAUGGUCUACAUGGACUCCAAGGAGUAA